rnacentral:rRNA from 1 species
AUGGCGCCAACGGAGGGUGACGAGCAACCCCCGUUGCGCAUGCUCUUCUUCCGGUUCCUCCUCCCCGGCCACCUCAUCCCGAUGGCCGACAUGGCCGCGCUCUUCGCCGCCCGUGGCGUUAGGUGCACCAUCCUCACCACACCCUUGCAAGCUUCGACCAUCCGCUCCAUCGUCGACCGUGCCAACACUUCCCUGGGGUCAGUGGAUGUUGUCGUCGUUCCUUUCCCCGACGUCGGGCUUCCCCCCAGCGCCGAGAGCGGGACUGGCCUAACAUCCAAGGACUACAACGACAGGUUCCUUCGGACGGCGGAGCUGCUCCAGGAGCCCUUCCGCCGCUUCCUGUCCAGCCACCACGCCGAGAUCGACGCCGUCGUCUCCGACGGCCUCUUCCACUGGUCCGUGGAUGACGCCGCAGAGCAUGGAAUCCCACGCAUCACGUUCCUCGGCACCAGCAUGUUCGCCCGUUCCUGCACCGAAGCCAUGCUCCGCAGCAACCCGUUCGAGGUGUGCUCCGACGACCCAGCCACCGUUAUCUCUCUGCCGGGGCUGCCGCACCGGGUGGUGGAGCUGCGGGGGCAGAUGAUGGACCCUGUGAAGCGGCCACAUGAGUGGGCAUUGUUCCAGCUAAUCCACGCCGCGGACCGGCGGAGCUACGGAGAGCUCUUCAACAGCUUCCACGAGCUGGAGCCGGCCUACGCCGAGCACUACCGCGCCACCCUCCACCGCCGAGCUUGGCUUGUCGGCCCGGUUGCGCUCGCAAGCGGCAGCGGGAAGGACGUGACGUCAAGAGGUGCCGUUGCGGGCGCGCUCUCACCGGAGUCCAUCGGGUGCCUGCGGUGGCUCGACGAGAAGCCGGCCAGCUCAGUGUUGUACGUCUCCUUCGGCACUAUGACAAUCUUCUCGCCGGAGCAGAUGCGGGAGCUCGCCCGCGGCCUUGACCUCUCGGGCAAAAACUUCCUGUGGGUCAUCGCCAAUGGCAGUGCAUCAACAGAUCUGUGUAUGCCAGACGGGUUCCCGAUGGCGCACCGCGGGUACAUCGUCCGGGGCUGGGCGCCGCAGGUGCUCAUCUUGAACCACCCCGCCGUGGGUGGUUACAUGACGCACUGCGGGUGGAACUCCACGCUCGAGGCUGUGAGCGCCGGCGUGCCGAUGGUGACGUGGCCGCGGUACGCCGACCAGUUUCACAACGAGAAGCUCGUCGCGGAGGUGCUUGAGGUGGGCGUCGGCGUCGGUGCGGAGGACUACGCAACAUGGAUGGAGACCCACCGACUUAUCGGCAGCGAGGUGAUCGCCGAAUCCAUCAGGAAAGUGAUGAAAAAGGAGACGAUGUGGAAGAAGGCUGAGGAGCUCGGCGCCAAGGCGAGGGCCGCCGUGGAGAAGGGCGGGUCGUCCUACGAUGAUGUAGGGCAGCUCAUGGAAGAGUUGAUGGCCCGCCGGUGCUCUGGACGUACGGCUCGUGGACAAUUGUGA